rnacentral:rRNA from 1 species
GACGGGGGAUGCAAGCGUUAUCCGGAAUGAUUGGGCGUAAAGCGUCUGCAGGUGGCAGUUCAAGUCUGCUGUCAAAGACCGGGGCUUAACUUCGGAAAGGCAGUGGAAACUGAACAGCUAGAGUAUGGUAGGGGCAGAGGGAAUUCCUGGUGUAGCGGUGAAAUGCGUAGAGAUCAGGAAGAACAUCGGUGGCGAAGGCGCUCUGCUGGACCAUAACUGACACUCAGGGGCGAAAGCUAGGGGAGCGAAUGGG